GAUGAACGCUGGCGGCGUGCCUAAUACAUGCAAGUCGAGCGAACAGACGAGGAGCUUGCUCCUCUGACGUUAGCGGCGGACGGGUGAGUAACACGUGGAUAACCUACCUAUAAGACUGGGAUAACUUCGGGAAACCGGAGCUAAUACCGGAUAAUAUAUUGAACCGCAUGGUUCAAUAGUGAAAGACGGUUUUGCUGUCACUUAUAGAUGGAUCCGCGCCGCAUUAGCUAGUUGGUAAGGUAACGGCUUACCAAGGCGACGAUGCGUAGCCGACCUGAGAGGGUGAUCGGCCACACUGGAACUGAGACACGGUCCAGACUCCUACGGGAGGCAGCAGUAGGGAAUCUUCCGCAAUGGGCGAAAGCCUGACGGAGCAACGCCGCGUGAGUGAUGAAGGCCUUCGGAUCGUAAAACUCUGUUAUUAGGGAAGAACAAAUGUGUAAGUACCUAGGCACGUCUUGACGGUACCUAAUCAGAAAGCCACGGCUAACUACGUG
rnacentral:rRNA from 1 species